CCCGCGACACAAGAAUUGAAUUCUUUAGUGAGGGAGUCGUUUAAAAAAAAUAAAGACUAGGACGACAAUGAUGCAUUAAUGGUAUGAUCUCCACAAUAAUUACCGCGUUUCGAUGAUUUCGAUAGUUCGAUGCCCGUAGACGAGUUUAAAAAAAAUACUUCAUAAAAAUGUUAGGCAGGCAUUAUGCAAGGAUUUUUAACCCAUUAGGUAUUUUUAACUACAUAAAUAUUAAUUAAGUAAAGAAAUCAAAGUUAAAAUCAAUUCGAUUUGUGUUCUCAUUAAUAAAUCAUAACAAAGAAAAAAAAUAUAAUUAGCAAAUACAAUUAUAUUCACUUAAUUAUAUUUUUUCGUAUAUAAAUAUUGCUGCAGCCGCCAUAUUUAUUAGUAACUGUGGUAAGUGACAAGUGAUUAUCAUGGCAACGGUAACUUGUCUUUUGAUCCUCGCGUUCGCAGCAGCUGUUAGCGCUCAGCCAUUGUACUGCACGCCGGCCACUGCGGGUAAGAGUUAGUCUUAGAAUUCCGUACACAGUGGUUAAAAAUUAAACCCUACUAACUAUUACUACUUAAAGCUCCCGACUGCCUGUCCGCACGCCUGUAUCUCAAGAACCAUGAUAACUAGAUUAUAAAAAAUAUGAUGUUUUCGCAGUAGCAGCAAAUAAUAAAUAUCAUGGUCAAGCCACGGGGGCAGGGACAUAAAUGUAAUGGGUGAUUCUUUUUGCCUAUUUGUAAUAAUAGUUAUAAAUAUUAUUUCUCUCGUAAAUAAAUCGUAGAUAUUUAGCUUGUCGAAAAGGUUAUUGUAAAAUCUUUCGGAUACAUCACUAUUUAGUAGGUAACGAUAACAAACAAACUCAUACCUAUUCAUCGGAAUCUACUAGUUUCGACGAUCGCCAAACAGUUUGAUUCGUGACCCGGUCUCCGGUUGGUUCCGAAACUAUGUAGUCUGGCGAUAACAAUAAACGCGUUCACGAAGUCUCAAGGUUCUUAGAAGACACAGGGUAUAAUAACUUCGUGGGCAGGAACCCGGUCUUUUUAAAGGUAUAAAACACGGGUCCAACAUUCAGAGGCCUUGUUGAGAACUUUAAUCUAGAAUGUAAAUAUCCACCACUAUUCUAUAGAACAGGGUAGGCGAACCAAUGGCACGCGUGCCAUUGAUGGCACGCGACACAAUAUUUUGGGCACGCCGCAGAAUUAAGUAUUUUAAGACGAACAAUUUGAUAGUAUUUAUAAUUAUUAUUUUCCAAAUAAUCAGAAAGACAAAAUUAUUGGCACGCGAAUAACCCCAUUAAACUGUUUUUUAGAAAAAAUGGCACGUUGAUGCGUAAAGGUUCGCCUACCCUGCUAUAGAAUAUAAUAAAGACAUUGACGGCCCAACGUAUCUACAAGACAAAUGUCUGCAGUGCAGGGAUAGCCGAGUGGUUGAGGUCGCCACGCCAAACCCACUAAGAGCAACGUGGCGCGGGUUCGAUCAACGCGACUUACACAGGGUCCUCCUAUCGAAUUGGAAACUGUUAACUUACAGCCUGGCAUCGCUGAUUGGAACAUUAAAAUACCGGAAAUCCCUCAGUGCCCGAAUGGAAUACACGGUGCCACUGCUAGAAUAUGCGACUAUGACUCCAGACCUGAGUCGUACUUCGUAGAUCUCCACGACAAUUUCGUUCACCGUACUGGACAACUCCAAGGCUACGCUUCAGUUAAAAUUAUUGUAUACUGCCACAAUUAUGGUCCUUAUGGGCCACCAGGGUCAGUUUCAGACAACCAGUUCGCCACACCGAACCAAUUUGGCUCUACAAACCAGUUUGGAUCGCCGAACCAGUUUGGAUCGCCGAACCAGUUUGGCUCGUCCAACCAGUUCAGCUUGCCAAACCUUGACCAGUCCCAAUCCAGAACCCUUUUUGUUAAACCAGCAAAUAACCAGCAACUCUUUUAAAAAGCAAUGACACUUUGACGUUCUUUUUUUCCUAUUGGCAGUUAACAAAUUGCUGUCAGCCUGAUGAGCUGACAUAAAAGAACUUAUUUAAAAUGGAGUCAAAAUUGAUGUUUCGUAACUACUUGAUUUUGUUUGAUAAUAAUUAAAACUUUAUCUGUCAUGUUAGUCUUUUGUAUCAUUUGUCUAUUUAUUUUUCAAUAAAUGUAUCUAUUUAAAAUGAAGUUUCAUUUUAAUGUCCUUUUUGAUACCUAGGUACCUAAUCUUCGAAA